rnacentral:piRNA from 1 species
AGGAGAUGCUCAGUAAACGUUUGCUGG